rnacentral:rRNA from 1 species
AACGAACGCUGGCGGCAUGCCUAACACAUGCAAGUCGAACGAACCCUUCGGGGUUAGUGGCGCACGGGUGCGUAACGCGUGGGAAUCUGCCCUUUGCUUCGGAAUAACUCAGGGAAACUUGUGCUAAUACCGGAUGAUGUCUUCGGACCAAAGAUUUAUCGGCAAGGGAUGAGCCCGCGUAGGAUUAGGUAGUUGGUGGGGUAAAGGCCUACCAAGCCGACGAUCCUUAGCUGGUCUGAGAGGAUGAUCAGCCACACUGGGACUGAGACACGGCCCAGACUCCUACGGGAGGCAGCAGUGGGGAAUAUUGGACAAUGGGCGCAAGGCUGAUCCAGCAAUGCCGCGUGAGUGAUGAAGGCCCUCGGGUCGUAAAGCUCUUUUAACAGGGAUGAUAAUGACAGUACCUGGAGAAUAAGCGCCGGCUAACUCCGUG